rnacentral:rRNA from 1 species
UACGGAGGGGGCUAGCGUUAUUCGGAAUUACUGGGCGUAAAGCGCACGUAGGCGGCUUUGUAAGUCAGAGGUGAAAGCCUGGAGCUCAACUCCAGAACUGCCUUUGAGACUGCAUCGCUUGAAUCCAGGAGAGGUGAGUGGAAUUCCCAGUGUAGCGGUGAAAUGCGUAGAUAUUGGGAGGAACACCAGUGGCGAAGGCGGCUCACUGGACCGGAACUGACGCUGAGGCGCGAAAGCGUGGGGAGCAAACAGG